UGGCGACCGGCGCACGGGUGAGUAACACGUAUCCAACCUGCCGAUGACUCGGGGAUAGCCUUUCGAAAGAAAGAUUAAUACCCGAUGGCAUAGUUCUUCCGCAUGGUAGAACUAUUAAAGAAUUUCGGUCAUCGAUGGGGAUGCGUUCCAUUAGCUUGUUGGCGGGGUAACGGCCCACCAAGGCAUCGAUGGAUAGGGGCUCUGAGAGGAAGGUCCCCCACAUUGGAACUGAGACACGGUCCAAACUCCUACGGGAGGCAGCAG
rnacentral:rRNA from 1 species